CAGUAGCCGCGGUAAUACGUAGGGUGCGAGCGUUAAUCGGAAUUACUGGGCGUAAAGCGUGCGCAGGCGGUUGUGUAAGACAGGUGUGAAAUCCCCGGGCUUAACCUGGGAACUGCGCUUGUGACUGCACAGCUAGAGUAUGGCAGAGGGGGGUGGAAUUCCACGUGUAGCAGUGAAAUGCGUAGAGAUGUGGAGGAACACCGAUGGCGAAGGCAGCCCCCUGGGCCAAUACUGACGCUCAUGCACGAAAGCGUGGGGAGCAAACAGGAUUAGAUACCCGAGUAGUCCCUGUCUCUUAUAU
rnacentral:rRNA from 1 species